AAUUCAUCCUUUGGGGGCUGAGAAGCAGUUACAGGGUAGCUUAAUUGAAGAUAUACUACAUCAAAAUUCGUCAGUCUGUGGACCUUCGAAGUCAGAGGAACAAAGGCGAGAUUCUCCAUAUCGAGCGCCUCCAAGUUUAUAUCAACCCUUCUUGGAUGAUCAUCUGCAGAUAUCAACUUCCCUGGAGAAAAAAUUUAGCCAUCCUAGAGGAUCACCCAUUAAUAAGGAGGUUGAUCUUGAAAAUGUUCACAGUCAGCUCAUGGAAGCUGCCAGCCCUUUUAGGCUAAUUCAAGGCUAUGCUUCGGACGACAGCUUAGACAAUGAUAAUGAGAAUUGUCUUGAAAAUCUUGGCCGUUUAACAGUUCCUCCACCCAGUGAAGUUGUUGCUAUAAUUCCCAAGACUGAUACUGAAAAAUCACCAAUAUCUUCAGUUAAACCUUCAAAUUCUGUUGCCAAAGAUGACCCCAAAUCUUUUGGUGCUUUAAAAUUUGAGGAUUCCAUUGAUCAUAGUAAUGGAAAUAGAUUAUCCUUGAAGAGUGAUACUGCGCCUGAAGGACUUUGUUUGAAAAAUAUUUUGGACGUUAAUGAUAAUGACAAUUUUGAUAUGCUUAGGGAAGAUGCCAAGGACAAAUCACCUACACGGAAGGUUGAUGAGUUUGGUAGAUUGGUUAGGGAGGGGGUCAGUGACAGUGAUUCUGAUGCUUCACGAAGGUAUAAGCAGAGACAUGGAAAAAGAGGAAGAAGCCGGAGAAGAAGCCGCUCUCCAUAUGAUAGGAGGAGGAGGAAGAGUCCACGGAAGAGAAAGGACAGGUGGGAUCGAUCUCGGAGCAUCUCUCCAAAGAGAUACAGAAGUAGAAGCAAGUCACCUUCUAGACCCGGGUCAACUUCUGGUGGUGACAAAAUAAGAAGGGACAGAGGUUAUCCUCAACAAUGUUUUAGUUUUCUUCGAGGCAAGUGUUACCAUGGAGCAUCCUGUCGAUAUUUCCAUGUUGAGCCUGAUAAGAGUGAUAGAUCAAGAUCUUACAGGAGCAAAGAUCAGCACCAAUAUCUUCCACUUAUUUCAAAGGAUUCCGAUAUGCACAAUUCAAAGGAUUCUCUCACACAUAAAAAAAUAGUGACUACACUCAAGAAACCGGUCCAUAAUCAUGGUG
rnacentral:misc_RNA from 1 species